AUUUAGUAAAGAAAUGCAACAUUUAGUAAUUUUCCUCUGUCCAUCAGAAUAGCAAAGAUCGCUCUUAAAACAGGCCAAAAGCUGGGUUUACUGUUAGGGCAUUUACCUAACACAUGGAAUGUUCAGUCUUCAGCACAAUCACACAGACACACACCCAUGCACACACACACACAUACAUAAUUGUUAGGAGUCCAGGUAAGAGUUGUUACAUUUAAAAGUUAAACUAAAACAACAACAACAAUUUAGCUAAGUGCUGGUGGCUCACAUCUAUAGCUCCUAUAUACUCAAGAGGUUGAGAUACAAAAACAAAGGUUUGGAGCCAGCCUGGCAGACAAGACAAAUUCCCAAGACUCUUAUCUCUAAUUAACCCGAAAAGGCUGGAAGUGGUGGUGUGGCUCAAGUGGUAAGGAGCCAGCUAUGAGGAAAAAGCAGAGUUAGAGUACAGAACCCUGAGUUCAAGCCCCACUAUCAGGAG